ACAACUCUUAAUAAUCGUAAAAAAAUUGGAAAUUUUAUUUAAUAUAAAAAUAUUAUUAAUUAUUAAAUAAAUUUUCUAAUUUUUUUUUUACAAUUAUUAAGGGGAGGAUCUCAUUGAAACCUACCAAAUGUUGAAAGGACUAUAUAAGGUGGAUGUUCCCAAUGGUGGGGGUAUCCAGAACUAGCGGGCACAGCCUAAAAAUUGACUGGUGGCAUUUUAGAACAGAGGUAAGGAGGAAUUUUUUUAGCCUGAGAGCAGCGAAUCUGUGGAAUGCUCUGCCACAUACUGUGAUGGAGGUCAAGUCCGUUGGCAUAUUUAAAGUGGAAGUUGAUAGUUUCCUGAUUGGUGAGGGCAUCAAAGGAUAUGGCAAGAAGGCAAGUAUAGGGGUUGAGUGGGAUCCAGAAUCAGCUUUGAUGGAAUGGUGGAGGAGACUGGAUGGGCUGAAUGGCCUGAUUCUGCUCCCAUGUCCGAUGGUCUAAGAUGCACAAAAUACUGGAGGAACUCAGCAGACCAGGCAGCAUCUGAGGAAAAGAGUAAACAGCUGAUGUUUCGGGCUGAGACCCUUCAUCAGGAGGUAAAAUUCAUCUGAAGAUAAAAUUGAAGUCGUAUUUCCUUUACUAAGGCGAAACAAAUUUUACAAGACGAAGCAGUGGGUUACGGAAAAUGAAUAGGAAGCAGUUAAUUGAAUGGGUGUUGGAGCACUGGGAGGCAGAGGGAACAGGUCCAGGAUAAAGAUGUUCAACCAAAGAGACCUGGACGACAAGAGGCAGAGUGGAUGGAAGAAAGUGAAGGUGGGAAGGUUGUAUUAGAGACUGAAUGCUCAAUAUUGCAGGAUGCCUGUAGGGGUUUAGAAAGUGUCAGGGUAAAAUUUAAAGGGAAAUUUGGAAAGUACUGAGAGUGUGAAAGUAUAAUGGCAAGCAAAAAUAAGGAUCUUUUGAGAUUACACAAAGAGCAAGAGGAGUCAGGUGGGACUGAGACACUGACCUAUGUGUGGAGGGGGAGGUAGAUAUGAGGAAGAUGGAUAAUGAAAAUUCUGCAGCUAUCUUCACAGAAUAUUGUCAAUACAGUUGAGGAACGUAGUGUGAAAUACAGAUACAGCAAAGUGAGGUAUUGUGAUUUCACGCCUUUGAAAGUAUAUAAACAUUCUGGAGACUAAAGACAUUGGAGAAAUUGGAACAGAACAGUCAAAUAUCUGGAGAUACUUUAGCAGAUUAGGUGCCAUCUGCGGAGGCAGGGAGAUGCUGGAUGUGUUGGAUCUGAACCCCUUGUGAGGACUGUGUGUGUAGAUAGCCAGUAUGCACAGGGCAGGGGUGAGGUAGGAGACGUCAGGUGGUAGUGGUAAGAUGGCUUGACUGGUAAAUGUGUUCAGGUGGUAGGUGGAGGCAACAAAGGACUGUACAUUAUGGAAUGUGAUUUAAAAAGGAAGUAAAUGGAGGAAUGGUAACAGUAGGAGUGGAGAUGAGGAAUCAGUGGGCUAGGUGUAUGGGUAAUGGGCAGAUGGAACCAAGUAGCGGAGGGUGUGGAGAGGUUGGGGGUUGAAAAGAAGUGUGUGUAGAGGACUUGGCUUGAUCAGGAGAGAGAAAAGAACUGAUUACCUGAAAUUGGAAAAGGGUGUUCAUGCCACUCAGUUGUUUACAUUUACAUUUCCCCCCACCCUCAACCAAGAGCUCAAGAUGGUAAGUGCAGAAAAACUUGGCAAAGCUGUCACUUAAUCUGUGUUUGAUCUUGUUGAUUUGGACCAGGUCGCAUCACUGGCAAGGGCUUUGUUACGUACUUGGAUGACGGUGAGGAGGAAGUGUAGGGGCAGGUAUUGCACCUCAGUCUGCAGGGGAAGAUGACGGAGGAUUGCGAAGAAUGAGCAAAGCAGAGAAUCGCUGAAAGGGUGGUCCUCAUGGACAGCAGAGAGGGAGGGGAACAUGCAGCUGGUGUUGGGAUCACAUUGCAACUGACGGAAAUGAUGGAGCCUUUUCUGCUUGCCUUGAAAGUGAGAAUAAAACUACAGCUAUGAGGACUCCUGCAGCACCCAGUGGCCCUGUCAUCUCUGCCUCAGAAGCUGACGUCAGGCUGCCUUUCAAGAGGGUGAACCCUCGCAAGGCGACGUCGAUGCAGUACCCGGAGGUGCUGACUCAAGAAGGUAAAAUCUAUCAUCAAAGAUCUCCACAACCCUGGUCAUGCCAUCUUCCCGCAGCUACCAUUAAACAGGAGGAACAGAAUCCUAAAGUCCACACAGCCAUGUUCAAGAACAGCAAUUUCCCUUCAACAAUUCAGUCCUAGGCCAACCUUCAUCACUGCAUCAUUACAGCAACAGUAUGGCCUCUGGUGAAUCCCACUGUUAAUUGUCAUUUUCUUUUCCGUUCAACAAUUACCUACUUGUAUUUUAUAUAAAUACUUUUAUCCCAGUAAUUACUUACUAUGAUCCCUCGUGCCUAUAGUAUGCCUCCACAUGGCUAUACAAAGUGUAUCUAGAAGCUUUGUACUGUAUUAAGUAAGUGCUUUUUAUUGGUUGAUUUUUACCUGCAGUAUUGACUAAGUGCUUUCUAAUUAUUAUUUUUACAUUAUAAUGGAAUAUUUCUUAUCUCUAUGUGUAUAGCUGUUUCUUUUGGUUAGGUGUCACAUUCUUGAAUCUUAGCUAUCCCUGUUACUGUCUGUUCAGUUUCCUUCUGUUUUAUGAACUCUUAAUAAAACAAUCAUGAACAACAAGUUUUAUGUCUCUAAGACAACAGGGGAAUUUUUAAGUGCACAACAAAAGUGAUAAGAAUUUCCUCCCUUCCUCUGUUGUCUGAGGGAACCCCAAUCAAGAAUGGCCUAGUACAAGAACUUACGGAUGUGAACAACUGCCAGCAGAAGUUGUAUUAAAAUGUAAACUCCACUCAAAACGACUACAAUGCAAAGCUGAGGAAAUUCAUUCACAGGUGAAAUUACAACACAGGCAGCACAGGACGCUGAUCAAGUACCAAAAACAGUGAACCCGAAAAUUGGAGUUACGAAAACAAAGUUAAAGUCUGUAUCACAGAUGAACCUGCAAGAUAUCCGACGGGAAAACUGGUUCCAGAUGGAGGAUUGUGGGAAAGUAAAUGGUGAUGGAGUAUGGGGAUAUGGCAAGUCAUUGACUGCUCCCAGAGCCAUCAGGACAAGUCGAACAAAUGAACGGACGCACUAAACAACAAACGAGAAAGUACCACGGUCAGCGGCUUUUCCCAUGGUCUUGUGCAGAGGAACCCAAACAAGAAAACUAAACUAAGUCCAUACGAGGUGGUAGCAGGACUAGGAGCCCUCAAACUCAGAGAGGGUGACACACACACUAUGGCAGGCUGUCCAGUCUGCUUCUCAACAGGUUUCUGCCACUUGGGAAGAACCAACAGGAGGCCACACCCUGAUACCUGGUGAGUGGGUCCUGAUAACAUACCCAAUUUGGCUGAUCAUACCCGUAAAGAAGCAGCUGAGACACAUGAAUCUGAUGGAUGGGAUUUCUUUGAUUGGAUUCAUUCGAGUCUCAAAAGCUGGGAUUACUCAAUAUUACAAAUCAUAGUAUUCAUAGUAGGCCUUUCCAUAACUUACAUCUUUUUUUUCUUGUUUAAAGGCAACUCUUAACAGAAUAGGUCUAACUCGUGUAAAUGUGCCUACUAAUCUGCCUAAACAUGACAUAAUCUUAUGAAUAAUUUGAAGUAAACUUUCUGAUAUUUCAUAAUUUAAGCUUUUUGAUUAUUUAUACGUAGCGUAGAUAACAAGUAUUUUUUGCCUCUUUCAGGUGUAAUAAUUCUAAACAUGUGAUUUAGAAUUAAAGCUGGGAUUGUUGGAUCUGACUUUUUAAUUGUCAUUUUCCUUGCAGUUCAACGUGCUUGUAUUUUAUAUAAAUACUUAUAUAAAACUAUCUGCUUACUAUCAUUGCUGGUGGCUAUAGUGUAUAAGAUGGCUAUACAAAGUAUAAUGCUGGAAGCUUUGUACGGCAUUAAGUGAAUGUUUUUUUCAUUGGUUAAU